rnacentral:rRNA from 1 species
UGGGGGAUAUUGCACAAUGGGGGAACCCUGAUGCAGCGACGCCGCGUGGGUGAAGAAGCGCUCCGGCGCGUAAAGCCCUGUCAGCAGGGAAGAAAAUGACGGUACCUGACUAAGAAGCCCCGGCUAACUACGUGCCAGCAGCCGCGGUAAUACGUAGGGGGCGAGCGUUAUCCGGAUUUAUUGGGCGUAAAGCGUGUGUAGGCGGCCGCCCAAGCAGGGGGUAUAAGGCCACGGCUUAACCGUGGCUUGCCCCCUGAACUGGGCGGCUUGAGUGCAGGAGAGGAAAGCGGAAUUCCUAGUGUAGCGGUGAAAUGCGUAGAGAUGGGGAGGAACACCAGUGGCGAAGGCGGCCUGCUGGGCUUUAACUGACGCUGAGGCACGAAAGCGUGGGUAGCAAACAGG